GACAUUCAUUGCUUCAUUCCUCGGCGUGAAAGGCGCGCCUGUGCCCUCUUCAACGCAUUCCGCGUCUCUUCUCAUUGAAACCCUAUCUCUGACUAUUCGUCUCCGUCUCUCUCUCACGUUGACUUUCUCGUCUCUCACUCUCAAUCUCUUUUGCAGGCCAUCAUUUUCCCCAAGGCAAACAUUCCUAGGUGGAAGGUAUUGUUGGUAAAACCCUAACCCCUUCCUAAACCCUCGAAAUUCAUCUGCAUAUGCUAUUCUUAUGCUUAUGCUCUCGAAUUGGCCGUAAAGCAGUUUCAUCCUCCACUUCUCUCCUAUCUACAACUUCUCUCCGCCUCUGCUCCUCAGUUGCACAACCAACGGCGGGGACACAAGCUUCAAUGGCGGCGCAGCACCCUAAAGAUGAGCACUAUCUCAAUUCUGUCAUUCCUAAACGCAUCCAGCUUUUUCAGUCGAUACAAGCAAAGCUGCUCGCCGACCGUCGUUCUCUUCCCUCUGAUCCAAUCGAGAUCACCUUGCCGGAUGGGACGGUGAAGGCGGGUAAGAAAUGGCAAACAGCACCAAUAGAUGUAGCAAGAGAAAUCUCGAAAAGCUUGGCUGCGAAUGCUUUGAUUGCCCAAGUUGAUGGAGCUCUAUGGGACAUGUGUAGGCCGCUAGAAGGCGACUGUGAGCUUAAGCUGUUCACCUUCGAAAGCGAUGAAGGGCGCGACACAUUUUGGCAUUCUAGCGCUCAUAUACUUGGACAGUCGCUCGAGAUGGAGUAUGGUUGCAAGCUCUGCAUUGGACCCUGCACCACUAGAGGAGAGGGAUUCUAUUAUGAUGCUUUUUAUGAUGAUUUGGGCUUGAAUGAUGAUCACUUCAAGAAAAUUGAGUCUGGUGCAUUGAAGGCUGUAUCGGAGAAACAACCAUUUGAGCGCAUUGAAGUUUCAAGGGAACAAGCUCUUGAAAUCUUUUCUGACAAUAAAUUCAAGGUUGAAAUCAUCAAUGAUUUGCCAGAAGACAAGACUAUCACUGUUUAUAGAUGUGGUCCCUUGGUUGAUUUAUGUCGUGGUCCUCACAUACCAAAUACAUCAUUUGUGAAGGCAUUUGCAUGCCUGAAGGCAUCAUCGGCCUAUUGGAGGGGCAGUAAAGAUCGUGAAAGCCUACAAAGAGUGUAUGGGAUAUCUUAUCCUGAUAAAAAUCGUUUGAAGGAAUACAUCAAUAUGCUUGAGGAGGCAAAGAAGUAUGAUCAUAGAUUACUAGGUACAAAGCAGGAGCUUUUCUUUUGUCAUCCACUUAGCCCUGGAAGCUGGUUCUUCCUUCCUCAUGGGGCUCGGAUCUACCACAAACUGAUGGAGUUUAUGCGAGCUCAAUAUAGGGAUCGAGGUUAUGAAGAGGUUGUGUCACCAAAUAUGUUCAAUAUGCAACUAUGGGAAACGUCUGGUCAUGCUGCAAAUUACAAGGAGAAUAUGUUCUUAUUUGAGAUUGAAAAGCAGGAAUUUGGAUUGAAACCGAUGAAUUGCCCUGGCCACUGUUUGAUGUUUCAGCAUAGAGUUCGUUCUUAUAGGGAACUUCCUCUUCGGUUAGCUGAUUUUGGGGUCUUGCACCGUAAUGAGGCUAGUGGGGCACUGACUGGAUUGACUCGUGUGAGAAGAUUUCAGCAGGAUGAUGCUCAUAUCUUCUGUAGGGAGUCACAGAUAAAAGAUGAAGUCAGGGGAGUCCUAGAGUUCAUCCAAUAUGCUUAUGACAUUUUUGGGUUCACAUUUGAGCUGAAGCUAUCAACGAGGCCAGAGAAAUACCUUGGAGAUUUGGAAACAUGGGAGAAAGCUGAAGCUGCACUUACAGAAGCACUGAAUGAGUUUGGGAAGCCCUGGCAGAUCAAUGAAGGAGAUGGUGCAUUCUAUGGACCGAAGAUAGAUAUUAGUGUAUCCGAUGCAUUGAAAAGAAAAUUUCAAUGUGCAACCCUUCAGUUGGAUUUCCAGCUUCCUUCUCGCUUUGAUUUGUAUUACUCAGCAGAGGAUGAGGCCAAAAGGGAACGACCUGUUAUGAUUCAUAGAGCAAUCUUGGGGUCCGUUGAGAGAAUGUUUGCUAUUUUGUUGGAGCACUACAAAGGGAAGUGGCCCUUUUGGCUUAGUCCACGUCAAGCAAUUGUUUGCCCUGUAUCAGAAAAAUCUCAAUCUUAUGCACUGAAGGUGCGUGAUUUAAUUCAUGAUGCUGGUUUUUAUGUUGAUGUGGAUGUAACAGACCGAAAGAUUCAGAAGAAGGUGCGAGAAGCACAGUUGGCACAAUAUAACUACAUAUUAGUCGUUGGUGAGGAGGAGGCCAACACUGAACAGGUGAGUGUACGGGGGAGAGAUAAGGGUGAUCACUCAGUGAUGAGUAUCGAGAACCUGCUCGAACACUUCAAGAAAGAAGUUGCAGCCUUCCAUUAGAUCCUUUUGCAUUUGAAAAUAUAGCAAGUUGGGGGCAGUCGUCGUAAGAUAUUACUGAUAAACUCAUUGUUACGAGAAAGUGCAGAAGCCUACCGGUCAUGGAUGAAGGCGCCAAAACUAAGAAAACUUCCUGCCAGAAACUCAGAUAGUUUACUUGAAAUUGUUGUAUCUGAAAAAUAUGUGUGUUUAAAAAUGUCAUCCAGUUUAAUAUUGAUACAAGCUGAACUGCCAUGCCGCACCAAAAAUACAUCAAAAUUAAUAUUAUCAAAACGUGUUCGGUGACUUUGCCUUUAUGCAUAUGUAAUAUUAAUAGGGUUUACAUUUCUA